GCCGUCUGCAAAUUUACGCUGGACAGCACCUCCAGGGCCUUUCAAAGAGAAGAAGUGUAUGAGGAGUUUAAACGUCUCACCAACGGAAUCACUCAGCUCGGAACAGCUACACUCUAGACACGGAUAGCUUGCUUGUUAAUGAUUAUUCUCCUCUCAACACAACGGCAGGAGAGCCAGGUAGAUCGGAGCUCCAUCUGGGCGAUAAUCCUCAUCUGCUCUCGGUGUUGCUUGGCUUGAUUCUCCUCCUCCUCAUGAGCUUCUUGAUUGCCUUUGUCUGAGAAGAAAGGAAGGGAGGCAUGUACGACGUCCAACAGAGCGUAUACGGGGUCUAUUUCCCACAUCUGGACAUGAGAAAAAUGCACUGACGAACACAUUGCUGAGACGAACUCCUUGCACUCAGAAGUGUCUCUUCUCACUGACUCAUUCAUC